rnacentral:sRNA from 2 species
GCGCCAUGUAAAGUCUGUAGUAAUGGUUAACGACAUCGAGGAGCUUAUUUGCGUUUUCUGCGCCCAUUAAUAACUCGGGAGAGGUGUCACCGUGUGAUCCAUGUAUGAUCUCGUGGAAGAUAUCGAUUGUCUCAGGACCGGGAGGCUGACCUUUCUGCGAUGUACUUUUACUGUGAGUUUCCAGCGACGGUCGAAGAAGUUUUUGCACGCGAAAGGAGAACGAAGAAAACCCGUUUGUGCCGUUGGUUAGCAGCUCUAUCGGUCGUGUAUUAUUAUAUUUAGGUGGAUUUGUAUGAUCGACGAAGCCUAAAUUUGGAUCUCCAGCGAAUGUAACCUCGGUGGGGAUUUUCUGGAUUUCUUGAUUGCAGAUUGCAGCCGUUAUAUUGGUCAACGACGUGUGGUUGGCACGCAUAUAGCCAAAUGCGAUGCCGAUAGAUGGGCAACCAAUUGGGUUGUCUUGCCUUUCCCAUAUAUCUACUAGAUGAGCGGGAUCCAGCG